AGAAUCUAGAAUUAACCGCGAAAUUAUCUUCCUCCGUCAACGAUCUUAACUCCGCCGUCUUCCGCCGCUGAUCUUCGAAGCGGGCAAUCCCGGAGACUAUAUUUUCUCCGUACUAGAGAAGAGAGAGAUCUUGGAAGUUUUUACAGAUAAUAAGUGUCCGGAGCAAUGGCUUCCCUUAAAAUCAAAGCGGUUUUCUGUAUGCAAUUGCUACCUUUGCUCAUCGGAGCUUUUUCCGUUAUCCGAAU
rnacentral:misc_RNA from 1 species